UACCUGGUUGAUCCUGCCAGUAGUCAUAUGCUUGUCUCAAAGAUUAAGCCAUGCAAGUCUAAGUACGAGCUCUCGUACAGUGAAACUGCGAAUGGCUCAUUAAAUCAGUUAUGGUUCAUUUGAUCGUACAGUUUACUUGGAUAACUGUGGUAAUUCUAGAGCUAAUACAUGCGAGAAGCGCCGACCUCGCGGGAGGCGUGCAUUUAUCAGACCAAAAACCGGCCGCGUCUUCGGGCGCGUUCGCCUUGGUGACUCUGGAUAACUUUGCGGAUCGCACGGUCUAAUACCGGCGACGGAUCAUUCAAGUG
rnacentral:ncRNA from 1 species